rnacentral:rRNA from 1 species
GACGAACGCUGGCGGCGUGCUUAACACAUGCAAGUCGAACGGAAAGGCCCUGCUUUUGUGGGGUGCUCGAGUGGCGAACGGGUGAGUAACACGUGAGUAACCUGCCCUUGACUUUGGGAUAACUUCAGGAAACUGGGGCUAAUACCGGAUAGGAGCUCCUGCUGCAUGGUGGGGGUUGGAAAGUUUCGGCGGUUGGGGAUGGACUCGCGGCUUAUCAGCUUGUUGGUGGGGUAGUGGCUUACCAAGGGUUUGACGGGUAGCCGGCCUGAGAGGGUGACCGGCCACAUUGGGACUGAGAUACGGCCCAGACUCCUACGGGGGGCAGCAGUGGGGAAUAUGGCACAAUGGGCGGAAGCCUGAUGCAGCAACGCCGCGUGCGGGAUGACGGCCUUCGGGUUGUAAACCGCUUUCGCCUGUGACGAAGCGUGAGUGACGGUAAUGGGUAAAGAAGCACCGGCUAACUACGUG